UACAGGGGGUGCAAACGUUGCUCGGAAUCAUUGGGCGUAAAGCGCACGUAGGCGGUUCGUUAUGUCGGAUGUGAAAGCCCUUGGCUUAACCGAGGAAGUGCAUCCGAAACUGGCGAGCUAGAGUACGAAAGAGGAUCGCGGAAUUCCCGGUGUAGAGGUGAAAUUCGUGAGAUAUCGGGAGGAACACCGGGUGGCGAAGGCGGCGAUCUGGGUCGAUACUGACGCUGAGGUGCGAAAGCGUGGGGAGCAAACAGG
rnacentral:rRNA from 1 species